GAGGCAGAGGCAGAGAUAGGGCGGAGGCAGGCAGAUUUCUUUGAGUUUGAGACCAGCCAGGACUAUAGAGUAAGACCUCUCAAGCAAAAACAAGCGGCAUGGGGAGGUUUAUUGCUGGCAGCAAACUAGGAGCAAACUGGGGACCAUUCAAAGCAGUGUCUCCCUAGACAUUCUGGCUCUCUGGCUUUUCUCUUUUCUUUUGGUGCUAGGACAGAAGAGACUUCUGUGUGUAAGGCUCUCCCUGCAGCUGAGUCUCCCUGCCCUCCCGUGCUUUCUGAUUCUGACAGGAUGAUGAAGAUGACUCAAAGGGGAUGAGGAACUCGGCUGGAAUCCACUUGCUCACUCCCAGCUCCAGAGAGAAGGAAGGAUUCCCUAGCACCCUAAGCUGAGGGUUCGCCCCUUCCUCCUGUGGUCCCAUUCCCAAGAGUCCCAUCUCCUGGCUCACAGAGCAACUCUCCUUUGAAAAGUCCUACCCCAUCCAAACCAUUUCUCCUCUCUUAUGCUCACCCUGCUAGCCUGGGCCAAUUUCCAAGCAGCAAAAGCCAUGUCUUGAGGGGUGGGGAUUCCUGGAAAAAGUAACUUGGAUGGUUUUGCGUCUGAGUUUCCAUAUUCCCAAACGCAUUCAAUGUACUUGAUGGUUCCUGGGCUUAUCGCUUCCUGGAAACCACUGGUCAAGUGUGCUCCCACCACUGCUUUUACUCUGAAACACACCUCCAGGAGGAGGGGUCAGCUGAAGUCUGCAGCUGGGAUAAUAAAAGCUCAGUAGAUUGGCACAACCU
ensembl:antisense Lrrc75aos1 leucine rich repeat containing 75A, opposite strand 1